rnacentral:lncRNA from 1 species
CUUUGGUACUAUUGUGCUCUGACUAUCUCCAGUUCCUAAACAAUUGCUGCAAUUCAGUCCAAAAACAAACACCUCAUCAUUGUGCGUUGUGUAUAUAGCUUCAUUGGCUGAUGUACCAAACACACAUGCUUUCCGAAUAGAUGCUAUUUCUUGAGGUGACAGUAAGGUAAAUAUUGGCCACUUUCCCACAUCCACCAUGAUGUUACUGCGUCUCAUGAACUUACAGGCUUUCUCCAGUGACAAUCUAGAAUUCAUUUCAGCCCUGGAGCUAGCUGAACAUGAGGAGCAAAAGGCGCGUGCAGAGUUUCUUCUGGGCAGAUCCUUGCAAUGAGAGGCUGAUCCCGAAGACCUCAGACAUGCAAGCAGCAGCACAGAGGG